UUUAACUAUAGCUGCAUACAGGAAGUAGAAUUAAUGCAAUUCGAAAACAGGUGUAAUGCUGGCUCCGGUCAGUAUUUCUGUUGGAAAUUUGAAAGGGCGUACGGACAUUGAACUAUUACAAAAAAUCUAAUCCUUUGACCCCCAAUUUUCUCCAUUGCUGUUUAGUACUUGGUAAGUUACCAAUGUAAAAACAUGGUUUCCAGGCACCUUGCUUCUGCAGGAAAGUGGCAGUUUGUUGUUGAAACUGGCUUUAAAAGGCUCGGAAACACACAUAAUUCUGAUGUUUUGAUUUGAAAUAAUCAAUACUAAAACAUUUUGCCCCAACUCAUUUGAUUUGAAUGUUACUGAUUUUUCAGAAGGCACAGCCUCAAACAAUUCUGGCAAUGUGCUUGGUUUAUUUUCAGAUUUGCGAGGUGACCAGUUUCCAGACAUUGGUUCGCUCCUGCUUGUGUACGCGAUUGGCCGAGACUCAAAAAACUGUAGUGUGCCACCUUAAGGUUUUAGUCGUUUGCUUGUAAGGCAAGAUAAUCUCUGGAGAAGAACUAAAAUACGUCAACAGCCUUGUCAGCGGAAAGACACUCCGUUGCAGUUACUGAAGAUUUGCGAGGUGACCAGUUUCCAGACAUUGGUUCGCUCCUGCUUGUGUACGCGAUUGGCCGAGACUCAAAAAACUGUAGUGUGCCACCCUAGGGAAAUCUGAGUUACGUCUUCGGGACUGUCGACCAAUACUGCGGUAUCGAUGUCUCAAUAUUGCUUGACUACUG